UAUGGUGGCUCCUUCCUCUCGCACCUGUCGGUUGGGUUCUAUCGGGGCGGCUCGGUAGCGAUAGCAGCAGUUCUAGGGUUCGAGAAUCUCUGCUCCGGCAUGCAUGGAGUUCUUGACGCAGCCGUUCAACAGUAGAACUCCGAUUGAAGAGGUGACUGACAGCGAUUUACCAAUGGAACCGCUGCAUCACCCUGUUAGAUCGCCGCCCGGCGCUGAAGUGGCAGCUGCGAGUGCUUCAAGUGGCGGGGCGCAGAUCUGUUCGUGGAUCAGAAUUGCUGCUUGCGGGCGACGCCCGCAGUUGUUGCAGUUAUUGCGGCUGUGAAUGGGCACGAGCGACUAUCUCCUACCUCUUCUCCUUGGAUCUUGCAUUAUUGAAAAAACGCGAGCCGGUGGAGAAAGUUCUUUCUAGAAGGCGAGUGGCAGAUCCGGCAACUAUGGAGUUCUUGAUGCAGCCGAUAAAUAGCACAACUCUGCUCGAGGUCAACCAGAACAACAUCCCCAUGAGUCCCCUUCAUUACCCUGUGAUGACGCCGCCGCUGGUCGAGGUGUUGGCCCUGACGGCUUCAAGUGCAGAUGCGCAGCUUUGUGCUCCGGAAGCUGCUCCAGGUGCAGGCAGUGCAGAGAAGCCUCAAGGUCCAGGGAACUCCAUAGAACAUGUUGACCCGAAAACUCCUGGCUCAACUAAAAGGGGAGGCCACUUAUGCGAGCAAGCAUGGCAACCGAAAGACAUGCUGGCAAGAUAUAUACCAGAGCUAUGUUUGGGCAAUUCGGCCAUAUACUACAAGAGUGUGGUGCAUACCAGAUGGAGGAGAUUGAAAUAGGUAAAACAUAUGUUGCUAAUUUGAAUGUGAAUGCAGGCAGUUUGCCCACAUGGGGUUGCUAUGCAGCCAUGUACUGAAGGUACAAAAAUCCCAAAGAAGCAUAUAGUAAAAAGAUGGACAAGAGAUGCACGGGAUAUCCUCCCGCCUAACCUGACACAGGUACCAGCUGAGGGACCAUGCUCAACAAAACCCAUUUAGUUACAGGCAUUUUAAUAUGUAUAUGCAUGUGAUGGAGCUUGUGCGCAUGGGGGACAGCAGUGUGAAAGCAUAUGAGCAUCUAAUCUCCUUGUUCAAGAAAUAUGCUGCUGAAAUGAAGCCAUCUACAGAGAUUGGGAGGCCUACCACAAGUAGCGAGAAGGCGCCGUACGAAGGUUUAAGUAAGGCACAAAAUUCUGCAAUAUAUGUCGGAGACUCGGAGGCAAGGGCACAAAUGAACAACCUGCCCUGAUCAGGCAGAUGUUCCGAAGCAGCCUCGUAAGCCAGCCAGAUGCAAAAAACUGUGGUGUUGAAGGUCGCCGCAGGAACAACUGUCACAUAGCAGCUGAACUAGGACUCAAAUAAUUGAUCCGAGUGAUCAAGCUUUCCGGUUGUAGAACUAUGUUAGACAGAUGAUACUAAGUUGUGUGGUUCCUGUAAAAAAAAUCUUGAGCCUAGAUGAACAUAACAUGUGUG